AAUGCCGCGUGAGUGAAGAAGGCCUUACGGGGUUGUAAAAGUCUACUUUCAGUUGAGAAGAAAAGAUUAGUGACUAAUAAUUGCAAUUCAUGACGGUAUCAACAGAAGAAGCACCGGCUAACUACGUGCCAGCAGCCGCGGUAAUACGUAGGGUGCGAGCGUUAAUCGGAAUUACUGGGGCGUAAAGGGUGCGCAGGCGGUUCUGUAAGUCAGAUGUGAAAUCCCCGGGCUUAACCUGGGGAACUGCGUUUGAAACUACAGAGCUAGAGUGUGGCAGAGGGGGGUGGAAUUCCAUGUGUAGCAGUGAAAUGCGUAGAGAUAUGGAAGAACAUCGAUGGCGAAGGCAGCCCCCUGGGUCAACACUGACGCUCAUGCACGAAAGCGUGGGGAGCAAACAGGAUUAGAUACCCCUGGUAGUCCACGCCCUAAACUAUGUCAACUAGUUGUCGGGCCUUAUUAGGUUUGGUAACGUAGCUAACGCGUGAAGUUGACCGCCUGGGGAGUACGGUCGCAAGAUUAAAAACUCAAAGGAAUUGACGGGGGC
rnacentral:rRNA from 1 species